rnacentral:rRNA from 1 species
AGAGUUUGAUCAUGGCUCAGGACGAACGCUGGCGGCGCGCCUAAAACAUGCAAGUCGAGCGAGAACCAGGACUUCGGUCCUGGGGACAGCGGCGAACGGGUGCGUAACACGUGAGCAACCUGCCCCGAAGACCGGGACAAGCCGGGGAAACCUGGUCUAAUACCGGAUGCCCUCACCGGAUCGCAUGAUCUGGCGAGGAAAUGGAUUCCGCUUCGGGAUGGGCUCGCGGUCUAUCAGCUUGUUGGUGGGGUAACGGCCUACCAAGGCGACGACGGAUAGCUGGUCUGAGAGGACGAUCAGCCACACUGGGACUGAGACACGGCCCAGACUCCUACGGGAGGCAGCAGUUAGGAAUCUUGCGCAAUGGGGGAAACCCUGACGCAGCGACGCCGCGUGCGGGAUGAAGGCCUUCGGGUUGUAAACCGCUUUCAGCAGGGACGAAAUUGACGGUACCUGCAGAAGAAGGCCCGGCCAACUACGUGCCAGCAGCCGCGGUA